rnacentral:rRNA from 1 species
UACGUAGGAUGCAAGCGUUGUCCGGAAUUAUUGGGCGUAAAGAGUGCGUAGGCGGUCUAUCAAGUCAGAUGUGAAAUAUCCCGGCUUAACCGGGAGGGGUCAUUUGAAACUGGUAGACUAGAGUACAGCAGAGGAUAGCGGAAUUCCCGGUGUAGUGGUGAAAUGCGUAGAUAUCGGGAGGAACACCAGUGGCGAAGGCGGCUAUCUGGGCUGAAACUGACGCUGAGGCGCGAAGGCUAGGGGAGCAAACAGG